AGAGUUUGAUCAUGGCUCAGGAUUAACGCUAGCGGCAGGCCUAAUACAUGCAAGUCGAACGGUAACAGGUGUAGCAAUACAUGCUGACGAGUGGCGCACGGGUGCGUAACACGUAUGUAAUCUGCCUUUAACUGGGGGAUAACUCCUCGAAAGAGGAGCUAAUACCGCAUAACAUCACUGGACGGCAUCGCCUGGUGAGCAAACCUACGGGGGUUAAAGAUGAACAUGCGACUGAUUAGUUAGUUGGCGGGGUAACGGCCCACCAAGACUACGAUCAGUAGGGGAUCUGAGAGGAUGAUCCCCCACACGGGUACUGAGACACGGACCCGACUCCUACGGGAGGCAGCAGUAAGGAAUAUUGGACAAUGGAGGCAACUCUGAUCCAGCCAUGCCGCGUGAAGGAUGAAUGCGCUAUGCGUUGUAAACUUCUUUUAUACGGGAAAAAUAUCCGCUAUUCUUAGCGGAUUGAUUGUACUGUAAGAAUAAGGGUCGGCUAACUUCGUGCUAGCCGCCGCGGUAAUC
rnacentral:rRNA from 1 species